GUACUGAUGAAGAGUCCCAAACCAAACAAACUGGACGAAACAGCUGUCCAUUAC
rnacentral:hammerhead_ribozyme from 1 species